UACGUAGGUGGCGAGCGUUGUCCGGAUUUACUGGGCGUAAAGAGCGCGCAGGCGGUCGUUCAAGUCGAAUGUGAAAGCCCCCGGCUUAACUGGGGAGGGUCAUUCGAUACUGAUCGACUAGAAGGCAGGAGAGGGAAGCGGAAUUCCCGGUGUAGUGGUGAAAUGCGUAGAUAUCGGGAAGAACACCCGUGGCGAAGGCGGCUCUCUGGGACGGUACUGACGCUGAGACGCGAAAGCGUGGGGAGCGAACAGG
rnacentral:rRNA from 1 species